rnacentral:rRNA from 1 species
GAAGGCAAGCGGAUCUCUUAAAGCUGUUCUCAGUUCGGACUGCAGUCUGCAACUCGACUGCACGAAGCUGGAAUCGCUAGUAAUCGCGGAUCAGCACGCCGCGGUGAAUACGUUCCCGGGCCUUGUACACACCGCCCGUCACACCAUGGAAGUCUGCAAUGCCCGAAGCCGGUGGCCUAACCACUUAUGUGGAAGGAGCCGUCUAAGGCAGGGCAGAUGACUGGGGUGAAGUCGUAACAAGGUAAC